CUACUACUAGUAAUAGCAUUUUUUCAUCCAAAGUAGCGCUCAAGUAACCCCUAGUCAGUGCCUUAUUUUCCCUUUUUCUUUUGCAGUGACAUAUGGAAUGCACAUACAUCAGACUAUGAAUCAUACCCGAAUUCAACAUAUGGACACCUUUACCAAGAAUAUGGAAACAAUAGUGAGAGAAGACCAACGUUUGGAAAUUUGUAUCAGUCGAACCAAGAUACAGAUGCAGAUCCAGAACAUGAAGACAGUCAAAUAUGGAUUUUCGAUUCCCAAUAUAUAGGCAAUCGUGAAGAAUCUUAUCCUAUGAAUAACAAGAUACGUGGGUAUUGUAUCAUUUUCAACGUGGAAGAUGUCGGUGGAAGUAUAAGAAAUGGUACUAAUAUUGAUGCAAAAAGAAUGGAAAACAGUUUUAAACAUUUAGGAUUUCAUGUAGUUGUAAAGCACAAUCCAUCCAGAGCAGUAAUUAACAGUACAAUGAAAGGUUAUCGCUCUGUAAAUCACAGCAAUGACGAUUGUUUCGUAUGUGUAAUUCUUAGUCACGGCCGAGAUGAACACAUUAGAUCAACCAACAAUGAAGACGUAUCGCUACAAGAAGUUAUGGACUAUGUUAAAAAUUGUCGCACUCUUCUUGGAAAGCCGAAACUUUUCUUUG